rnacentral:rRNA from 1 species
AUUGAACGCUGGCGGCAGGCCUAACACAUGCCAGUCGAGCGGAUGAGGGGAGCUUGCUCCUGGAUUCAGCGGCGGACGGGUGAGUAAUGCCUAGGAAUCUGCCUGGUAGUGGGGGAUAACGUCCGGAAACGGGCGCUAAUACCGCAUACGUCCUGAGGGAGAAAGUGGGGGAUCUUCGGACCUCACGCUAUCAGAUGAGCCUAGGUCGGAUUAGCUAGUUGGUGGGGUAAAGGCCUACCAAGGCGACGAUCCGUAACUGGUCUGAGAGGAUGAUCAGUCACACUGGAACUGAGACACGGUCCAGACUCCUACGGGAGGCAGCAGUGGGGAAUAUUGGACAAUGGGCGAAAGCCUGAUCCAGCCAUGCCGCGUGUGUGAAGAAGGUCUUCGGAUUGUAAAGCACUUUAAGUUGGGAGGAAGGGCAGUAAGUUAAUACCUUGCUGUUUUGACGUUACCAACAGAAUAAGCACCGGCUAACUUCGUG